AUUGAACGCUGGCGGCAUGCCUUACACAUGCAAGUCGAACGGCAGCGGACCUUCGGGUGCCGGCGAGUGGCGAACGGGUGAGUAAUGCAUCGGAACGUACCUUUCAGUGGGGGAUAACGUAGCGAAAGUUACGCUAAUACCGCAUAUUCUGUGAGCAGGAAAGCAGGGGAUCGCAAGACCUUGCGCUGAUUGAGCGGCCGAUGUCAGAUUAGCUAGUUGGUGAGGUAAAGGCUCACCAAGGCGACGAUCUGUAGCGGGUCUGAGAGGAUGAUCCGCCACACGGGAACUGAGACACGGUCCAGACUCCUACGGGAGGCAGCAGUGGGGAAUUUUGGACAAGGGGGGCAACCCUGAUCCAGCCAUGCCGCGUGAGUGAAGAAGGCCUUCGGGUUGUAAAGCUCUUUCGGCCGGGAAGAAAUCGCACGGGCUAAUACCCUGUGUGGAUGACGGUACCGGAAUAAGAAGCACCGGCUAACUACGUGCCAGCCGCCGCCGUAACAC
rnacentral:rRNA from 1 species